GUGCCAGCAGCCGCGGUAAUACGGAGGGGGCAAGCGUUAUUCGGAAUUACUGGGCGUAAAGCGCACGUAGGCGGCGAAGCAAGUCAAGGGUGAAAGCCCUCGGCUCAACCGAGGAGUUGCCCUUGAAACUGUUUCGCUUGAGUCCGGGAGGGGGGAGCGGAAUUCCCAGUGUAGCGGUGAAAUGCGUAGAUACUGGGAGGAGCACCGGUGGCGAAGGCGGCUCCCUGGACCGGUACUGACGCUGAGGCACGAAAGCGUGGGGAGCGAACGGGAUUAGAUACCCCGGUAGUCCACGCCCUAAACGAUGGAUGCUAGGUGUUGGAUCCGAGAGGAUUCAGCGCCGAAGCUAACGCGUUAAGCAUCCCGCCUGGGGACUACGGCCGCAAGGCUGAAACUCAAAGGAAUUGACGGGG
rnacentral:rRNA from 1 species